UAUCCAGCAUAAACCUGACUCCUAAUUCUGUAUCCUACUCAGUGGACCACAAGCCUCCAUGCUUACCCCCUGAAGUUCAGGAAGCAACUAAGCUGGAACAAUCUGUGCUGGAAUAUGAAAAUAAAAGACUGAGUUUAUAAAUUAAGUAGAUACUUUAUCACUUGUGGGAUUGGGAUUGUAACAGUACUGUUGCUACUCGAGCACCUGAAAUGGAAUUUUGAUAAAUCACUUGAAAAUUUCCUCUUGUAAGAAAAAUUUGAAUUAGAUUUUAGUUAGCUGAAACUCCUUUUAUACAGAAUAAGACCACACCCAGAAUGAGACUGUUAUGCUGUACAUCCCCUUAAGUCUCAGAAAUUUGUUAAUUUAAGUAAAGAGUUUUGUUAGGAAGAACAGACUAUGGGAUUGACUAGAUGGGUGGAGCCAUGC
rnacentral:lncRNA from 1 species